UACGAAGGGGGCUAGCGUUGCUCGGAAUUACUGGGCGUAAAGGGCGCGUAGGCGGUUCUAUAAGUCAGGCGUGAAAUUCCUGGGCUUAACCUGGGGGCUGCGCUUGAGACUGUGGGACUUGAGGUCAGAAGAGGGUCGUGGAAUUCCCAGUGUAGAGGUGAAAUUCGUAGAUAUUGGGGAAGAACACCGGUGGCGAAGGCGGCGACCUGGUCUGAUACUGACGCUGAGGCGCGACAGCGUGGGGAGCAAACAGG
rnacentral:rRNA from 1 species